UAGGGAAUCUUCCACAAUGGACGCAAGUCUGAUGGAGCAACGCCGCGUGAGUGAAGAAGGUUUUCGGACCGUAAAGCUCUGUUGUUGGUGAAGAAGGAUAGAGGUAGUAACUGGCCUUUAUUUGACGGUAAUCAACCAGAAAGUCACGGCUAACUACGUGCCAGCAGCCGCGGUAAUACGUAGGUGGCAAGCGUUGUCCGGAUUAUUGGGCGUAAAGCGAGCGCAGGCGGAAGAAUAAGUCUGAUGUGAAAGCCCUCGGCUUAACCGAGGAAUUGCAUCGGAAACUGUUUUUCUUGAGUGCAGAAGAGGAGAGUAGAACUCCAUGUGUAGCGGUGGAAUGCGUAGAUAUAUGGAAGAAUACCAGUGGCGAAGGCGGCUCUCUGGUCUGCAACUGACGCUGAGGCUCGAAAAGCAUGGGUAGCGAACAGGAUUAGAUACCCUGGUAGUCCAUGCCGUAAAACGAUGAGUG
rnacentral:rRNA from 1 species